rnacentral:rRNA from 1 species
AUGAACGCUAGCGACAGGCUUAACACAUGCAAGUCGAGGGGCAGCACAGGUAGCAAUACCGGGUGGCGACCGGCGCACGGGUGAGUAACGCGUAUGCAACUUGCCUAUCAGAGGGGGAUAACCCGGCGAAAGUCGGACUAAUACCGCAUGAAGCAGGGGCCCCGCAUGGGGAUAUUUGCUAAAGAUUCAUCGCUGAUAGAUAGGCAUGCGUUCCAUUAGGCAGUUGGCGGGGUAACGGCCCACCAAACCGACGAUGGAUAGGGGUUCUGAGAGGAAGGUCCCCACAUUGGUACUGAGACACGGACCAAACUCCUACGGGAGGCAGCAGUGAGGAAUAUUGGUCAAUGGGCGUAAGCCUGAACCAGCCAAGUCGCGUGAGGGAUGAAGGUUCUAUGGAUCGUAAACCUCUUUUAUAAGGGAAUAAAGUGCGGGACGUGUCCCGUUUUGUAUGUACCUUAUGAAUAAGGAUCGGCUAACUCCGUGCCAGCAGCCGCGGUAAUACGGAGGAUCCGAGCGUUAUCCGGAUUUAUUGGGUUUAAAGGGUGCGUAGGCGGCCUUUUAAGUCAGCGGUGAAAGUCUGUGGCUCAACCAUAGAAUUGCCGUUGAAACUGGGGGGCUUGAGUAUGUUUGAGGCAGGCGGAAUGCGUGGUGUAGCGGUGAAAUGCAUAGAUAUCACGCAGAACCCCGAUUGCGAAGGCAGCCUGCCAAGCCAUUACUGACGCUGAUGCACGAAAGCGUGGGGAUCAAACAGGAUUAGAUACCCUGGUAGUCCACGCAGUAAACGAUGAUCACUAGCUGUUUGCGAUACACUGUAAGCGGCACAGCGAAAGCGUUAAGUGAUCCACCUGGGGAGUACGCCGGCAACGGUGAAACUCAAAGGAAUUGACGGGGGCCCGCACAAGCGGAGGAACAUGUGGUUUAAUUCGAUGAUACGCGAGGAACCUUACCCGGGUUUGAACGCAUUCGGACCGAGGUGGAAACACCUUUUCUAGCAAUAGCCGUUUGCGAGGUGCUGCAUGGUUGUCGUCAGCUCGUGCCGUGAGGUGUCGGCUUAAGUGCCAUAACGAGCGCAACCCUUGCCACUAGUUACUAACAGGUGAUGCUGAGGACUCUGGUGGGACUGCCAGCGUAAGCUGCGAGGAAGGCGGGGAUGACGUCAAAUCAGCACGGCCCUUACAUCCGGGGCGACACACGUGUUACAAUGGCGUGGACAAAGGGAGGCCACCUGGCGACAGGGAGCGAAUCCCCAAACCACGUCUCAGUUCGGAUCGGAGUCUGCAACCCGACUCCGUGAAGCUGGAUUCGCUAGUAAUCGCGCAUCAGCCAUGGCGCGGUGAAUACGUUCCCGGGCCUUGUACACACCGCCCGUCAAGCCAUGGGAGCCGGGGGUACCUGAAGUCCGUAACCGAAAGGAUCGGCCUAGGGUAAAACUGGUGACUGGGGCU